rnacentral:lncRNA from 1 species
CUCAUUUUUUUUGCUCAAAACCUUCAUCAUUUUCAUCAAAAUCUUGUGAUAUUACACAGAUUAAUUCAAUAGAAAUGAGGCCAAUUUAUAGCAAUACCUUGUCGGUUGUUUCGAUUCUUUUCUUGUUACUUCCCGGUGGUCAAGCUCUCAGGCCUUAUCAUUGUAACAACUUAUAUAUUCAUAUCUUCAUUGUUAAAUUUAUUACACAUUGUGUGAAAUGAACUCAUAUAUCGUCGAUGUUGGUUUAAUUUACAGUUACCCACCACAGUAGAGGCACCAACUACAAGGAUGUAGAAAACCAACAUGUUAAGGUACGUAUAUUUUCUCCACACC